AGCUGGAGGGAGAGGGGCCUGAUGAGGCCCCCACUGGACCACGGGCUGCCCUGCGAUCUUGGCGGCAGCCCCAGAAUCUCUCUGGCUGCUCUUGGUGUCCCCAGCUACGGAACAAGGAGACCACUUCCCAUCACGAGACUUCCUGUGCCCGUCAAGCAAGAUAAGAAGUUCAGAAAUGCUUCGUAAUGAAACCAACAAGGAGCAUCUACAGCUACUGGCUGGGUUUGGGAACGGAGCCCCCGACUCCCACUGUCAUGACCUCGCUGGGCUGUCUUGCAUUUCCUCUCAGAGCUUGGGAGGGGGACGAAUACCCAGCCCGGCCCCUUCCCCUCCAGGUACAGUCGAUGCUCAAGCUGGCAUUUCAAUUGGAAAAUGCUGACUGGCUCGUAGUAGAUGCUCACACUGCUGAGCCGAACAGUCCAGAACCGAGCAGGGGUGCGUUGCUUUAACAUCCUCUGGUCUAAGAUGAAGAUCAUCACAUCCAGGCAAGCUUCCGGAAGGAGCUGUCUGGCGUGUCCUGAAUCCGUCCCUCACCUCCUGCUGAAGACUUCUCCAACAUGGUCCAGCCCCCAGCCUCCUCAGUGCUGGCACAGGGGACGCCUCAUCUGAGUUUGCGGGGCCUGGGCCUCCCUGCCCCUUCCUUUGGCGAAGGUCCCUUUCCUGACAUCACUUAACUGGCUUUCCUUCAUUUCCGAGAGCUGCUCUGGGUCACAGCCCCACUUCCCUAGCCUUCUUUCCCUGCCUGCACCUUGGGUGGGUCUUUCUCACCUGCCCUUUCUUCUGAGUUUUGACCCUGCCUGCCCAUGAGGUCUCGGCACUUGAGCUGGAGCCUGGAGGCAUCUGGUCUCCUUGCUCGUGGAGGUGCCCUCACCUGGCUCACGCACACCUCCUCUGUAGCCCCUCAGACCCUGCUCACCUGGAUGGGGGCACAGCCUUUCCUGCCCCCUCCGUUUCUACUCUGUUCUGGAGCAAGCUCUUUCCAAGAUGCCCCUUUGAGCAGCCCCGUUACAAGAGGAUGGUCCCUUCGGCCCUCAGGAGGCCCUGGGUCCCUGUCCUGCUCCAUAGCUCUGCAGAGCCAGUCAUGAGCCCCUAGCACUCCAGCUGCGACCCCCAGUUUACUCUGCGCCUGGAUGCAGACUGUCCUUCUCCAGGUCCUCAUUGACCUUGAACCUCUGUCUGAGUCUCACCUCCUUCGAGAAGCCUUCCUGGAUACCUCCUUGGGGUUGACUUCAUCUGUUCCAGGUUUGCAACUUCACUGCUUCUUCUUCUCCAGAAGGGCCAGGAUUUUCCCACAUCUUUAACUGCCCAUGCUCUAAACCAGGGCCCCACUGCAAGCAGAGAAGUGUUUUUACAGAUGAACAUUUGCAAUCAAUACAAUGAUAGGGAACAACUUUGAACCUCAAUUAAGCAAAAAGCUGUCCUCCCAAAAAAGAAUUUCUUUCUUUCAGUAGUAGACCUGUGCUACAAAAAUUCAUCAAUAAAAAGUGUAGGCAUUUGUUUUUUCUCGUUA